AGUGAACGCUGGCGGUAGGCCUAACACAUGCAAGUCGAACGGCAGCACAGUAAGAGCUUGCUCUUACGGGUGGCGAGUGGCGGACGGGUGAGGAAUACAUCGGAAUCUACUUUUUCGUGGGGGAUAACGUAGGGAAACUUACGCUAAUACCGCAUACGACCUACGGGUGAAAGCAGGGGAUCUUCGGACCUUGCGCGAUUGAAUGGGCCGAUGUCGGAUUAGCUAGCUGGCGGGGUAAAGGCCCACCAAGGCGACGAUCCGUAGCUGGUCUGAGAGGAUGAUCAGCCACACUGGAACUGAGACACGGUCCAGACUCCUACGGGAGGCAGCAGUGGGGAAUAUUGGACAAUGGGCGCAAGCCUGAUCCAGCCAUACCGCGUGGGUGAAGAAGGCCUUCGGGUUGUAAAGCCCUUUUGUUGGGAAAGAAAAGCAGCAGGUUAAUACCCCGCUGUUCUGACGGUACCCAAAGAAUAAGCACCGGCUAACUUCGUG
rnacentral:rRNA from 1 species